rnacentral:lncRNA from 1 species
CCGUCUGAUAUGAAGGUGAAACAGGCUGUCUCCAUACCUCAUCCGGUAUGAGCGCCAAAAAUACCAAUCCUCGAUACCCCGUCCAGUAUGAGGCGACGUUUACGGUAGAGUUCCCUAUGUACCUUGUUUGUCCACCAUCUCCCAGAAUAUCCAGUAAGGCUACCAUUCAUUCAUUCACUUAACCAAUCAAUUUUCUGUUUACAUUUAAUUUUUAGUUUCACAAUUUAACCGUAAAUCAACUCAAGACAAAAA